GGGGCAGGGAGCGGUGAGCUGCGGGGAGCGGUGAGCUGCGGGGAGCGGUGAGCUGCGGGGAGCGGUGAGCUGCAGAGAGCGGUGAGCUGCAGAGAGCGGUGAGCUGCAGAGAGCGGUGAGCUGCAGAGAGCGCAGGGAGCGUCAUAUUUAAGCCAUAUCCCGAAACCAACCAUUCACAAAGGAGAUGACUCCAAGCCUCCUGGACGGCUAUGCAAACCAUCGUCGCCUGACCUUGCCUGGAUUGCUGUCAGUGACCCUUUGGGAGGAUCGUGAAGGACGCUGCUACUGGGCAGUUGGAGGCAGUCGCCCUCCAACAACAACGGAGGGCAGAGGAGCGACGCUUACAACAACGAGCGGAGUGCCGGGCGGAUAAAAUGCAGCAAGUUGGCACAGGACAGUGGACGGUACCAGUGGCGCCCUGCAAUUGCCUGCCCACAACCACUGUUGGUGGAAGGACCUCGACGGGAGGGAAUACUGGAGAGGCCCUUUUGAGAGUCCAUCUAGGGGGUAUUUGGCCUACUCUUCCACGUUAUCCAGACAUCUCUGAAGAGGUGUGAGAACACGUACGGGACCUGCCAGGUGACGAACUGGUCUGCCCAUAUCUAAUACUAGGUGGAUAGAGACGGUUGUUAUUAAUGACCUUGCCCGAUUCUUCAAUUUCCAUGCCGGGAGGUUAAACUGGCGACCUCUGGUUUGCACUGUGGCAGAAUUCCUAAAAAAAGGGCAAGACCUACAACUAUUCGAACAGUUUUUGUUGUUGUUUUAAAUGUGGUAUUUUUUUUUAGACGCUCGUGCAAGGUAAACAUUCGUAACAUCCGACCAGAGGAGCGAGCUUUGUUUACCAAGCUUGGACCGUUGUGCCGGACGGGAUGUUAUUCUGAGUGGAAAUAACAAGUUAUUUCGAAAGUUGCGCUCACAAACAACAAUACACGUGAAGAGUUGAAGUGACAUAACCACGCUCAAUUGUAGGCCGGGGAUUUCAUAAACACGCUAACGUUCAACGCUGCUUUCCAACUGUGGAUUUCUUCACAACUCUGACUGUCGCCUGAUCAUGCUGAUUUUAAUUACUAGCUAUACGUCGUGCUGGAAUUGUAAAUGUUGUGAGUUUUCUCUCGAACACACCGAUGUGCUGAACUAGUAGCUUAUUGACAUAUUUUGUUUACGUGACACACCUUACUAAUUGGCUGUGUCAGGUGGUGGCGGGUUUAACGACACAUUUAUAUUUACGCGAUCUAACAAAAACAAACCUCUAUUAUGGCUGCUUUCGAAAUUCGUUAAGUUCGCAAAGAGCGGAGGAUGGUCACCAAUGACACCGGUUGAGGUUGGCUUUUAAUUUAGUACUGGCAGCUCGUGCAUUUGGUGAUGUGAAACACUUGGACCCGAGCACGAUAUUUGGCUGUACAUAGGACAGCAUGAAGUCCAGCUCUUUAAAAGUAAAUAUUUUGGCAAACAUUAAAACAAAAUUACACGAUUGCAUCAGGGACUAUCGUUUUUCUCUGAAAUGGAAUGUUGCAAUCGUGUAUUGAUAGUUAAAUAUUAAAAGGGGCACAAAUAUUAUUUUUAACCAAAUAUUAUGGUUGCCUUCAAUGGUGCACUUUGCUUGGUCGUCCUAUGGUAGCCAUACACUGAACAAACAAUGUUUCAACCAUGAUUGUAAAAUGUCCUGCUUGGGGCAGGAUUGCUAAUAUCUGAAAUGGAGUUCCAAUUGGGCCCUCCCCACGCCGCACGGAGUGGGGAGGGUCUCGUCCAGCAGUGGAUUGUCAAAGGGGCUGCAAAAAUAGGAAUCUAUUUUUGCUUCGUAUCAACGUGCAGUCUGGCCACGAUUUGUGGAUGUGUGCUUGCUUAGUGCGGGCACAGAUGGAACGUCUUCCAAGACGGACCCAUUGCUCACUCCACUUGCCUCUGAAGGCUGACAGCAGGCAUUCGGCGAGGGCGUGUUUGUUUCUCUGGAAGGAACAUGAUGUUGCUGUGCCGAAGGGAUUUUACAUACAAACCAUGCUGGUCACAUUGCAUUUGGUUUGGUUUUCAAACAAUCCGUACGCCCCCUCCCAGCGGGACUCCAUAAAUUCAACCUGCCGCGACAAGGUGGUGUGCGUUCUCUAUUAAGGGGAACAGAAAUCUGCACUAAAUCAGAAGUUGUCUCGCCAGUUUUAAUGCAGGUGAUUUACCGCAGCCGAGCAAUGGGUCAGCGCGUGGUCACUGCAGCGAAUUUUAAAAACAAUCAGGUCACACGUGGCAAGCUGCCUGUAACUUGUCACGCCGCGGUCACGCCAGACAUCCCCGGAACGCAUUGUGAUGUUUAACUACCUGAAAGUGUUCAUAAUUUACCGUCGCGCGGACUGUAAACAGAACGCGCUCGCUCGCCGCAGAGCACCGGACUUAUUUCUCAGGAUUUCUGAGGAUUGUGCAAUUGUUGCAAAAAAUACUCGGGGGGUCAUUGGCUCCCAGUGUUGCAUGGCCCGAGCUUGCUGUCCACACUGAGGCAGGGGAGAGGUGGUGCCCAAACAGGUUGUUAAGCUAAACUGUCCGCGCGAUGCAACCACGGUAUGUUUUUGCUUUUGUUGGCGUCAAGGUUGGAGCUGUGCUCGGUGUGUGGCGCUUCGCUUACGAAGGCAACACGUAUGUAGUUCGGCAACGUC